rnacentral:rRNA from 1 species
UACGUAGGGUGCAAGCGUUGUCCGGAAUUAUUGGGCGUAAAGAGCUCGUAGGCGGUUAGUCGCGUCUGCUGUGAAAACUCGGGGCUUAACCCUGGGCCUGCAGUGGGUACGGGCUGACUAGAGUGCGGUAGGGGAGACUGGAAUUCCUGGUGUAGCGGUGAAAUGCGCAGAUAUCAGGAGGAACACCGGUGGCGAAGGCGGGUCUCUGGGCCGUAACUGACGCUGAGGAGCGAAAGCGUGGGGAGCAAACAGG